UUUGGCCUACGGGGCGCAGCAGUGAGGAAUAUUGGUCAAUGGGCGCGAGCCUGAACCAGCCAAGUAGCGUGAAGGAUGACUGCCCUACGGGUUGUAAACUUCUUUUAUAAAGGAAUAAAGUGAGGCACGUGUGCCUUUUUGUAUGUACUUUAUGAAUAAGGAUCGGCUAACUCCGUGCCAGCAGCCGCGGUAAUACGGAGGAUCCGAGCGUUAUCCGGAUUUACUGGGUGUAAAGGGCGUGUAGCCGGGCCGGCAAGUCAGAUGUGAAAUCCCAAGGCUCAACCUUGGAACUGCAUUUGAAACUG
rnacentral:rRNA from 1 species